rnacentral:rRNA from 1 species
UGCAAGUCGAACGAGUUCUCGUUGAUGAUCGGUGCUUGCACCGAGAUUCAACAUGGAACGAGUGGCGGACGGGUGAGUAACACGUGGGUAACCUGCCCUUAAGUGGGGGAUAACAUUUGGAAACAGAUGCUAAUACCGCAUAGAUCCAAGAACCGCAUGGUUCUUGGCUGAAAGAUGGCGUAAGCUAUCGCUUUUGGAUGGACCCGCGGCGUAUUAGCUAGUUGGUGAGGUAAUGGCUCACCAAGGCGAUGAUACGUAGCCGAACUGAGAGGUUGAUCGGCCACAUUGGGACUGAGACACGGCCCAAACUCCUACGGGAGGCAGCAGUAGGGAAUCUUCCACAAUGGACGCAAGUCUGAUGGAGCAACGCCGCGUGAGUGAAGAAGGCUUUCGGGUCGUAAAACUCUGUUGUUGGAGAAGAAUGGUCGGCAGAGUAACUGUUGUCGGCGUGACGGUAUCCAACCAGAAAGCCACGGCUAACUACGUGCCAGCAGCCGCGGUAAUACGUAGGUGGCAAGCGUUAUCCGGAUUUAUUGGGCGUAAAGCGAGCGCAGGCGGUUUUUUAAGUCUGAUGUGAAAGCCCUCGGCUUAACCGAGGAAGCGCAUCGGAAACUGGGAAACUUGAGUGCAGAAGAGGACAGUGGAACUCCAUGUGUAGCGGUGAAAUGCGUAGAUAUAUGGAAGAACACCAGUGGCGAAGGCGGCUGUCUGGUCUGUAACUGACGCUGAGGCUCGAAAGCAUGGGUAGCGAACAGGAUUAGAUACCCUGGUAGUCCAUGCCGUAAACGAUGAAUGCUAGGUGUUGGAGGGUUUCCGCCCUUCAGUGCCGCAGCUAACGCAUUAAGCAUUCCGCCUGGGGAGUACGACCGCAAGGUU